GACUAGAAUGUACCGAAAGAAUAAGGAUCGGCUAACUCCGUGCCAGCAGCCGCGGUAAUACGGAGGAUCCAAGCGUUAUCCGGAUUUAUUGGGUUUAAAGGGUGCGUAGGCGGCUUAUUAAGUCAGGGGUGAAAGACGGUGGCUCAACCAUCGCAGUGCCCUUGAUACUGAUGAGCUUGAAUACACUUGAGGUAGGCGGAAUGUGACAAGUAGCGGUGAAAUGCAUAGAUAUGUCACAGAACACCAAUUGCGAAGGCAGCUUACUAAGGUGCAAUUGACGCUGAGGCACGAAAGCGUGGGGAUCAAACAGGAUUAGAUACCCUGGUAGUCCACGCCCUAAACGAUGAAUACUCGAUGUUAGCGAUAUACAGUUAGCGUCUAAGCGAAAGCGUUAAGUAUUCCACCUGGGGAGUACGCCCGCAAGGGUGAAACUCAAAGGAAUUGACGGGGGCCCGCACAAGCGGAGGAGCAUGUGGUUUAAUUCGAUGAUACGCGAGGAACCUUACCCGGGCUUGAAAGUUACUGAAGUACUCAGAGAUGAGUACGUCCGCAAGGACAGGAAACUAGGUGCUGCAUGGCUGUCGUCAGCUCGUGCCGUGAGGUGUUGGGUUAAGUCCCGCAACGAGCGCAACCCCUAUGUUUAGUUGCCAGCAUGUAAUGGUGGGGACUCUAAACAGACUGCCUGUGCAAACAGAGAGGAAGGAGGGGACGACGUCAAGUCAUCAUGGCCCUUACGUCCGGGGCUACACACGUGCUACAAUGGGCAGUACAGAGGGCAGCUACCUGGUAACAGGAUGCCAAUCUCAAAAAGCUGUUCACAGUUCGGAUUGAGGUCUGCAACUCGACCUCAUGAAGUUGGAUUCGCUAGUAAUCGCAGAUCAGCAAUGCUGCGGUGAGUACGUUCCCGGGCCUUGUACACACCGC
rnacentral:rRNA from 1 species